rnacentral:rRNA from 1 species
GAUGAACGCUGACAGAAUGCUUAACACAUGCAAGUCUUUGGCGAAGCUGUGCUUGCACAGCCUAGCCAAGGCGGACGGGUGAGUAACGCGUAAGGAACUUGCCCUGCAGUCAGGGAUAACAGACGGAAACGACUGAUAAGACCUGGUAAAGUCAGGCGGACUCAUGUCCAGCCUGAUGAAAAGAGAUGCUGCAGGAGAGCCUUGCGUCCUAUUAGCUUGUUGGUGGGGUAACGGCCCACCAAGGCGAUGAUAGGUAGCCGGCCUGAGAGGGUGGACGGCCACAAGGGGACUGAGAUACGGCCCUUACUCCUACGGGAGGAGGCAGUGGGGAAUAUUGGACAAUGGGGGCAACCCUGAUCCAGCAAUUCUGUGUGCACGAUGAAGGUUUUCGGAUUGUAAAGUGCUUUCAGCAGGGAAGAAAAAAAUGACGGUACCUGCAGAAGAAGCGACGGCUAAAUACGUG